rnacentral:tRNA from 1 species
ACCUGGGUGGCUCAGUCGGUUAAGCAUCUGACUUCCACUCAGGUCAUGAUCUCACAGUUCGUGAGUUCGAGCCCCACAUCAGGCU